AGCAGUCGCCACGGUAAUACAGAGGGUGCAAGCGUUAAUCGGAGUUACUGGGCGUAAAGGACGCGUAGGCGGUUAUAUAAGUGAGAUGUGAAAUCCCUGGGCUUAACCUAGGAACUGCAUCUUAUACUGUAUGGCUAGAGUAUUGUAGAGGGUAGUGGAAUUUCCGGUGUAGCGGUGAAAUGCGUAGAUAUCGGAAGGAACACCAGUGGCGAAGGCGGCUACCUGGACUGACACUGACACUGAGGCGCGAAAGCGUGGGGAGCAAACAGGAUUAGAUACCCGCGUAGUCCCUGUCUCUUAUAC
rnacentral:rRNA from 1 species